rnacentral:rRNA from 1 species
UGGUAGUAAAAAGUAGUAACAAGGUCUCCGUUGGUGAACCAGCGGAGGGAUCAUUACAGAGUUGCAAAACUCCCUAAACCAUUGUGAACGUUACCUAUACCGUUGCUUCGGCGGGCGGCCCCGGGGUUUACCCCCCGGGCGCCCCUGGGCCCCACCGCGGGCGCCCGCCGGAGGUCACCAAACUCUUGAUAAUUUAUGGCCUCUCUGAGUCUUCUGUACUGAAUAAGUCAAAACUUUCAACAACGGAUCUCUUGGUUCUGGCAUCGAUGAAGAACGCAGCGAAAUGCGAUAAGUAAUGUGAAUUGCAGAAUUCAGUGAAUCAUCGAAUCUUUGAACGCACAUUGCGCCCGCCAGCAUUCUGGCGGGCAUGCCUGUUCGAGCGUCAUUUCAACCAUCAAGCCCCCGGGCUUGUGUUGGGGACCUGCGGCUGCCGCAGGCCCUGAAAAGCAGUGGCGGGCUCGCUGUCGCACCGAGCGUAGUAGCAUACAUCUCGCUCUGGUCGCGCCGCGGGUUCCGGCCGUUAAACCACCUUUUUAACCCAAGGUUGACCUCGGAUCAGGUAGGAAGACCCGCUGAACUUAAGCAUAUCAAUAAGCGAAGGAA